ACACAUGAACAUCGACAUUUCGAACGCACAUUGCGGUCCUAGGAUACUGUUCCUGGACCGCUCCUGGCUGAGGGUCG
rnacentral:rRNA from 1 species